GUCAGAUACGAGAAUAUAUUAUUGUUGUCGGUUAAAUCAAGUAAAACAGUGUUGACUAAAGAUACCCUUAUUGAACAAUAUUCAGAUGUUUUUCAGGGGACUGGCAAAUUUGACGAACAAUAUCAUGUAACAAUUGAUCCAGAUGCAACACCUGUGGUUCAUCCACCAAGACCAGUACCUAUUGCGCUGAAAGACGAUUUGAAAGCAGAAUUGGAGAGGUUAAAGUCUGAAGGCAUUCUUAAAGUGGUAACCGAACCGACACCUUGGGUUUCGAAUAUGGUUAUUGUUAGAAAACCAAC
rnacentral:lncRNA from 1 species